rnacentral:rRNA from 1 species
UGCCUGAUGGGGGAUAACUACUGGAAACGGUAAUUGUCGCUAAUACCGCAUAAUGUCUACGGACCAAAGUGGGGGACCUUCGGGCCUCACGCCAUCAGAUGUGCCCAGAUGGGAUUAGCUAGUAGGUGGGGUAAUGGCUCACCUAGGCGACGAUCUUGAUCCCUAGCUGGUCUGAGAGGAUGACCAGCCACACUGGAACUGAGACACGGUCCAGACUCCUACGGGAGGCAGCAGUGGGGAAUGCACAAUGGGCAGCCUGAUGCAGCCAUGCCGCGUGUGUGAAGAAGGCCUUGAUCUUAGGGUUGUAAAGCACUUUCAGCGAGGAGGAAGGGUAAUUAAUAGCACAUUGCAUUGACGUUACUCGCAGAAGAAGCACCGGCUAACUCCGUGCCAGCAGCCGCGGUAAUACGGAUGCAAGCGUUAAUCGGAAUUACUGGGAAGCGCACGCAGGCGGUUUGUUAAGUCAGAUGUGAAAUCCCCGCGCUUAACGUGGGAACUGCAUUUGAAACUGGCAAGCUAGAGUCUUGUAGAGGGGGGUAGAAUUCCAGGUGUAGCGGUGAAAUGCGUAGAGAUCUGGAGGAAUACCGGUGGCGAAGGCGGCCCCCUGGACAAAGACUGACGCUCAGCGAAAGCGUGGGGAGCAAACAGGAUUAGAUACCCUGGUAGUCCCUGUAAACGUCGAUUUGAUCUUGGAGGUUGUGCCCUUGAGGCGUGGCUUCCGGAGCUAACGCGUUAAAUCGACCGCCUGGGGAGUACGGCCGCAAGGUUAAAACUCAAAUGAAUUGACGGGGGCCCGCACAAGCGGUGGAGCAUGUGGUUUAAUUCGAUGCAACGCGAAGAACCUUACCUACUCUUGACAUCCAGAGAAUUCGCUAGAGAUAGCUUAGUGCCUUCGGGAAUGAGACAGGUGCUGCAUGGCUGUCGUCAGCUCGUGUUGUGAAAUGUUGGGUUAAGUCCCGCAAGCGCAACCCUUAUCCUUUGUUGCCAGCGAUUCGGUCGGGAACUCAAAGGAGACUGCCGGUGAUAAACCGGAGGAAGGUGGGGAUGACGUCAAGUCAUCAUGGCCCUUACGCCAGUCAGUAGGGACACGUGCUACAAUGGCGUAUACAAAGAGAAGCGAACUCGCGAGAGCAAGCGGAUCAUAAAGUACGUCGUAGUCCGGAGAGUCUGCAACUCGACUCCAUGAAGUCGGAAUCGCUAGUAAUCGUCCAGUA